rnacentral:rRNA from 1 species
GACGAACGCUGGCGGCGUGCCUAAUACAUGCAAGUCGAGCGGACUUUCAAGAAGCUUGCUUUUUGAAAGUUAGCGGCGGACGGGUGAGUAACACGUGGGCAACCUGCCUGCAAGACGGGGAUAACUCCGGGAAACCGGGGCUAGUACCGGAUAAUAUCUUCCUUCGCAUGAAGGAAGGUUGAAAGGCGGCGCAAGCUGCCGCUUGCAGAUGGGCCCGCGGCGCAUUAGCUAGUUGGUGAGGUAACGGCUCACCAAGGCGACGAUGCGUAGCCGACCUGAGAGGGUGAUCGGCCACACUGGGACUGAGACACGGCCCAGACUCCUACGGGAGGCAGCAGUAGGGAAUCUUCCGCAAUGGACGAAAGUCUGACGGAGCAACGCCGCGUGAGCGAAGAAGGUCUUCGGAUCGUAAAGCUCUGUUGUCAGGGAAGAACAAGUACCGUUCGAACAGGGCGGUACCUUGACGGUACCUGACCAGAAAGCCACGGCUAACUACGUG